UGAUAAUGGAUCAAAUAUAUUGUCUGGUAAAUUGUGUCCACAAGCAUCUAUUACAGUACUGCAGUGUUAAUGUCCUGGUAUUUAAGUACAAAGUAAAGAACUGGAUUUAUGAGAAGUACUCACUAAAUAAAUUAUUGUAGUACUAGGAUUCAUUAAAUAAAUCAUUGUAGUACUAGUUGCAACUAUAAACAAUAUUCAAUCAAUGAAACUUUUGGGCCUUGAUGGAAAUGCCAUGUUGCUACCUUUUGACUUGCUAGUCACAACAUUUAGUUGCGGGAUCAGCUUCUCCUUUAAUGGAGUAAGGCUAUGUACAGUUGGCUCUCCUUUCAUUGUUCUCUAGAAUGGUGGAAGUCUUCUGCAUUAGAUUACACAUUGAUGUGGUGGUAGUGGUAGUAGUGUGGGGUUGAUGGUUAAUGUGGUUUUCAAGUUUGAAAAGUAUGAUGGGAAAUUGCUCUAUCAUAUUCUGCCCCAUUUUAACCCAGCUCACCCUAUGUGACAGAAAAUACACUAGAUGAACAAG
rnacentral:lncRNA from 1 species